GUUCUAGCUCAGUCAGUAGAGUAUGAGAGUCUUAAUCUCAAGGUCGUGAGUUUGAACCCCAUGUUGGGCA